GAUGCCCCGUUUGAUUGCCAAGG
rnacentral:piRNA from 1 species